AAGUCGUAACAAGGUUUCCGUAGGUGAACCUGCGGAAGGAUCAUUAUUGAAUGAAUGUAGGGUUGGUUGUAGCUGGCCUCAGGGCAUGUGCACACCUUCUCUUUCAUCCACACACACCUGUGCACCUGUGAGACGGAGGCUGUUUCCUCGCGAGAGGGAGGGUUUCCGUCUGCCAUUAUACAAACUCAUAUAAUAUAAUUUGAAUGUAAACGAUGUAAACACAUCAUUGAACUAAGUUUCAACAACGGAUCUCUUGGCUCUCGCAUCGAUGAAGAACGCAGCGAAAUGCGAUAAGUAAUGUGAAUUGCAGAAUUCAGUGAAUCAUCGAAUCUUUGAACGCACCUUGCGCUCCUUGGUAUUCCUUGGAGCAUGCCUGUUUGAGUAUCAUGAAAUUCUCAAAACAAGUCUUUCGUUUAUUCGGUUGACUUUGUUUUGGACUUGGAGGUCUUGCAGAUUCACGUCUGCUCCUCUUAAAAUCAUUAGCUGGAUCUCAGUGAGCUCGGUUCCACUCGGCGUGAUAAGUAUCACUCGCUGAGGACGCCCGUAAAAAAGGUGGCCGGGAUUGCGGAUUGAACCGCUUCUAAUCGUCCAUUAGCUUGGACAACAACACUUUAUGAUCUGAUCUCAAAUCAGGUAGGACUACCCGCUGAACUUAAGCAUAUCAAUAAGCGGAGGAAAAGAAACUAACAAGGAUUCCCCUAGUAACGGCGAGUGAAGCGGGAUGAGCUCAAAUUUAAAAUCUGGCGGUCUAUGGCUGUCCGAGUUGUAAUCUAGAGAA
rnacentral:misc_RNA from 1 species